rnacentral:rRNA from 1 species
UGGGGAAUAUUGGGCAAUGGGCGAAAGCCUGACCCAGCGACGCCGCGUGGGCGAUGAAGGCCUUCGGGUUGUAAAGCCCUGUCAUGCGGAAAGAACGACCCUGUGACGCAUACUCACAGGGAGUGACGGUAACGCAGGAGGAAGCACCGGCUAACUCCGUGCCAGCAGCCGCGGUAAUACGGAGGGUGCAAGCGUUGUUCGGAAGUAUUGGGCGUAAAGGGCGCGGAGGCGGUAAUGUAAGUCAGAUGUGAAA